AUAUAGCAUUACAAAUCAACAUUUUUUCAUAAUUCUUUUGGCUUCUGCUCCAUUAACAUCUAUACAUGUUUGUGUAAGUUUUUAUGACUGUCUGCAAGCAUGGUCUAGUCUUUCGUGUGGUUAAGCAUUUGUGAUAUCGUCUGUGUGAACUUUUGGCCUCUGACAAUCGAGAGCGCCAUGCAACCCAAUCAAUACUCACAACAUUCGUGUGCAAAUAUGCAGUUCCUAUAUUUGUGAAGAACUUCCCUCAAGGCAAUAACCGUGAUGUGCUCUCCUUGCUAUUCUUGCUGCACUCCCUGUAGCAGUCCGUGUUGCAGCCCCUGCAGCAGCGCCUGCAGUAGUCCCUGCUGUAUCCCAUGUUGCAGUCCGUGCUGCAGUACCUGCUGCAGCCCCUGCUGUACUCUGUGCUGUUAUAUAUCCUGUGACUGCACAUGUUGCUCAACAUGCUGUAGUCCCUGCAUGUAUCCAUACGACUGCAAUGUGUGCUGUAUUGACAAUGGCUGUUGCUGCUAGGAAUAUCUUCAGAAUCAAAUCUAGGUACUCGCCCAAGACUACAACUCGAGACUAGAACUAAGCUAACAUAAAUAUGUAGACAUACAACCCAAAUUUUCAGUAGAAA